UACGUAGGGGGCAAGCGUUGUCCGGAUUUAUUGGGCGUAAAGAGCGUGUAGGCGGCCACACAGGUCAGCUGUGAAAACUCGAGGCUCAACCUCGAGACGUCGGUUGAAACCGUAUGGCUAGAGUCCGGAAGAGGAGAGUGGAAUUCCCGGUGUAGCGGUGAAAUGCGCAGAUAUCGGGAAGAACACCUGUGGCGAAAGCGGCUCACUGGACCAUCACUGACGCUGAUGCACGAAAGCUAGGGGAGCAAACAGG
rnacentral:rRNA from 1 species